UACAGAGGUCUCAAGCGUUGUUCGGAUUCAUUGGGCGUAAAGGGUGCGUAGGCGGCGGGGUAAGUCGGAUGUGAAAUCCCGGGGCUCAACCCCGGAACUGCAUUCGAUACUGCCUUGCUAGAGUACUGGAGAGGAGACUGGAAUUUACGGUGUAGCAGUGAAAUGCGUAGAUAUCGUAAGGAAGACCAGUGGCGAAGGCGGGUCUCUGGACAGUUCCUGACACUGAGGCACGAAGGCCAGGGGAGCAAACGGG
rnacentral:rRNA from 1 species